GCUUUUUGAACAGAAGUCCCACAUUUUCAUUUUGCAUUGGACCCAGCAAAUUAUGUAGCCAGCCCUGACCAUAGCCAGUCCUCCAUCGUGCUUCCCAGAAAAGGCUGUCCGAGCUCUAGCAGCCGGCCAUACUGGAUCAUGAAGAUAAAGGCACACCCUAGGAAUGAUAGGAUAGAAAGCUGGAAAGAACACAGAUCCCUGAUCGCUGUGGAGCUGCCGGAUGAGCUCUGAACUGCCUCUCACAAGAGAAAAACAGUCCUAUCUAAUUUAUCCUUGAUAUUGUUUUGGAUUUUCUAUCACAUUUAGUGGAAUGUAAUCUCCAGGAUAUUUCACGUGAAAAAUCUGCAUCAUUUUCCACAGGAACCUUCUCAAAUUGGUGUAGUUCACAAAGGAAGACAUUUCUGCUGCUGCUGCAAGUAAGGCAUUUCUCUACCCUUGAGAUGCCACAUUCGUAGCAGCCCCACAGACCUGCCUGUGGGUGGAGGGGCAGGUCUCAGUGUCCACAGACUUUUCAUGGCACAGUUUUCAAGGCAUGGGAGGUGGGAAACAGAGGGUCUUCCAUUCCACAGCUGUGACCUAUUUCUUGUUUUAAAGACCUUCAUCUAGUCAAAUAAGUUUGUAUUUGGGGCGCCUGGGUGGCUCAGAUGCUUGAGUGCCUGACUCUUGGUUUUUGGCCCAGGGGCAUGGGAUCGAGCCCUGAUUGGGCUCCAUGCUGAGUGUGGAGCCUGCUUGAGAUUCUCUCUCUCUGUCUCUCUCUCUCUCUCUCUCUCUCUCUCUGCCCCUCUCCUCACUCACAGUCUCUUUCUCUCUAAAAAAAAUUUUUGCAACAAUUUGUAUUCCUCUAGUCCACAUAAUUUUGACCCAACUUCUUAGUAAUACUCAAGUCUUAGGUUAAUGAAAGAGCACCUUCACCCCCAAUUUCCAACCAGCUCUCUGCCCUGAAUAGCAUCACCAAACUUCUUGAAUUAACUUGACAAUGGAGGGAGCUGGGCCUGAGAGGAUGUCCCCUAAUCUAGGAGCUAACGGGAUACAGGUUGGAAUCUCAGUCCCUGUCAGGCUCCAAUGGACCUGGCAAUCCUUUGGGGAGGAGAGGUGUUGUGGGUUGAAGAGUUCUUGGUGAGUUAAAGACUGAUUCUUGUCAUUGGCUGUGAAUGAACUCAAGGCCACGGGAUGUGAGCAGAAAGUAGGAUGAACUCCGUCUCUCAGAAACAGGCCAAAGACAAAGAAGGCAUAGAAGACCCUUUGAAGCUACUCAGGCCAUUUGGGAGGAAUGUAUGAGUGUACAAUGAGGCUGACUUUCAAAGAUGAAACUAUGACAAGAUCAGAAAUCUGUGUUUUUUGAGCCAAUCUAUGUCUAUCUCUAGAUUUGUUUUUAUCUUUUUAUUCUCAUAAUUUCAUUAAACUAAUGCUUCAUUCAUA